AACGAACGCUGGCGGCAGGCCUAACACAUGCAAGUCGAGCGCCCUUUCGGGGGAGCGGCGGACGGGUGAGUAACGCGUGGGAAUAUGCCCUUCUCUACGGAAUAGCCUCGGGAAACUGAGAGUAAUACCGUAUACGCCCUGUGGGGGAAAGAUUUAUCGGGGAAGGAUUAGCCCGCGUUGGAUUAGGUAGUUGGUGGGGUAAUGGCCUACCAAGCCGACGAUCCAUAGCUGGUUUGAGAGGAUGUUCAGCCACACUGGGACUGAGACACGGCCCAGACUCCUACGGGAGGCAGCAGUGGGGAAUCUUAGACAAUGGGGGCAACCCUGAUCUAGCCAUGCCGCGUGAGUGAUGAAGGCCUUAGGGUUGUAAAGCUCUUUCAGCUGGGAAGAUAAUGACGGUACCAGCAGAAGAAGCCCCGGCUAACUCCGUG
rnacentral:rRNA from 1 species